UACGUAGGGCGCAAGCGUUGUCCGGAAUUACUGGGCGUAAAGCGCACGUAGGCGGAUCUUUAAGUCAGGGGUGAAAUCCCGAGGCUCAACCUCGGAACUGCCUUUGAUACUGGGGAUAUCGAGUCCGGGAGAGGUGAGUGGAACUGCGAGUGUAGAGGUGAAAUUCGUAGAUAUUCGCAAGAACACCAGUGGCGAAGGCGGCUCACUGGCCCGGUACUGACGCUGAGGUGCGAAAGCGUGGGGAGCAAACAGG
rnacentral:rRNA from 1 species